rnacentral:rRNA from 1 species
GCGUACGGGUGAGUAACACGUGGAUAAUCUGCACCUAGUAGUGGGGAAUAACGAUGGGGAAACCGUCGCUAACACCGCGAUAAUCCCUGAGAGGGGAAACGCCGAAAGGCGCUCAAGGAGGAGUCCGCGGCCGAUUAGCUUGUUGGUAGGGUAAUGGCCUACCAAGGCUUCGAUCGGUAGCCGGCCUGAGGAGGGCACACGGCCACACUGGUCACUGAAACACGGGGCCAGACCUCCUACGGAAGGCAGCAGUGGGGAAUCUUGCACAAUGGGGGCAACCCUGAUGCAGCGACGCCGUGUGAGCGAUGGAAGCCCUUCGGGGUGUAAAGCUCUUUCGUCAGGGAAGAUCAUG